rnacentral:rRNA from 1 species
UGCUUGCAAACUGAAGAUGGCGACCGGCGCACGGGUGAGUAACACGUAUCCAACCUGCCGAUAACUCCGGAAUAGCCUUUCGAAAGAAAGAUUAAUACCGGAUGGCAUACGAAUAUCGCAUGAUAUUUUUAUUAAAGAAUUUCGGUUAUCGAUGGGGAUGCGUUCCAUUAGUUUGUUGGCGGGGUAACGGCCCACCAAGACUACGAUGGAUAGGGGUUCUGAGAGGAAGGUCCCCCACAUUGGAACUGAGACACGGUCCAAACUCCUACGGGAGGCAGCAGUGAGGAAUAUUGGUCAAUGGGCGAGAGCCUGAACCAGCCAAGUAGCGUGAAGGAUGAAGGCUCUAUGGGUCGUAAACUUCUUUUAUAUGGGAAUAAAGUUUUCCACGUGUGGAAUUUUGUAUGUACCAUAUGAAUAAGGAUCGGCUAACUCCGUGCCAGCAGCCGCGGUAAUACGGAGGAUCCGAGCGUUAUCCGGAUUUAUUGGGUUUAAAGGGAGCGUAGGUGGAUUGUUAAGUCAGUUGUGAAAGUUUGCGGCUCAACCGUAAAAUUGCAGUUGAAACUGGGAGUCUUGAGUACAGUAGAGGUGGGCGGAAUUCGUG